rnacentral:rRNA from 1 species
UACGUAGGGUGCAAGCGUUGUCCGGAUUUAUUGGGCGUAAAGAGCUCGUAGGCGGCUUGUCGCGUCGACUGUGAAAACCCGCGGCUCAACCGUGUGGCGGGCAGUUGAUACGGGCAGGCUAGAGUUCGGUAGGGGAGACUGGAAUUCCUGGUGUAGCGGUGAAAUGCGCAGAUAUCAGGAGGAACACCGGUGGCGAAGGCGGGUCUCUGGGCCGAUACUGACGCUGAGGAGCGAAAGCGUGGGGAGCGAACAGG